rnacentral:rRNA from 1 species
AACGAACGCUGGCGGCAGGCCUAACACAUGCAAGUCGAGCGAGACCUUCGGGUCUAGCGGCGCACGGGUGAGUAACGCGUAGGGAUCUACCCAGUAGCGGGGGACAACAGUUGGAAACGACUGCUAAUACCCCAUACGCCCUUCGGGGGAAAGAUUUAUCACUAUUGGAUGAACCUGCGUGACAUUAGCUAGAUGGUGGGGUAAUGGCCUACCAUGGCUACGAUGUCUAGCUGGUCUUAGAGGAUGAUCAGCCACACUGGAACUGAGACACGGUCCAGACUCCUACGGGAGGCAGCAGUGGGGAAUAUUGGACAAUGGGCGCAAGCCUGAUCCAGCCAUGCCGCGUGAGUGAUGAAGGCCUUAGGGUUGUAAAACUCUUUCAACGGUGAGGAUAAUGACGGUAACCGUAGAAGAAGCCCCGGCUAACUUCG